UACGUAGGGAGCAAGCGUUGUCCGGAAUCAUUGGGCGUAAAGCGCGCGUAGGCGGCCCUGUAAGUCCGCUGUGAAAGUCAAAGGCUCAACCUUUGAAUGCCGGUGGAUACUGCAGGGCUAGAGUCCGGAAGAGGCGAGUGGAAUUCCCGGUGUAGCGGUGAAAUGCGCAGAUAUCGGGAGGAACACCGGUGGCGAAGGCGGCGAUCUGGGUCGAUACUGACGCUGAGGUGCGAAAGCGUGGGGAGCAAACAGG
rnacentral:rRNA from 1 species